GGAGAGAUGGCAGAGUGGUCUAUUGCACCGGCUUGCUAAGCCGGAGUGGGGUUUUCCUCACCGCAGGUUCGAAUCCUGUUCUCUCCG
rnacentral:tRNA from 2 species